GACGGGCUAGCGAAGGACUGGCCCCCCGCUGCCCCCGGAGGGACUGUUUAAAGAACCCAGCUCGAGACCUACGGGAGGUGGAGGGGUCGGGGCGGCGUCCGUUUGGCUCCCGGUUUGGAACCUCAGGACCCCCUCCCCACCCACCCCCGCCCAUGCGUGAUUCACAACGUUUUUAAACACACGUGCUGAUGGUAACUCCUGGGCUGGAGCAAACUGAGCAGGCUGCCCCAGAAGACGAAUCGUUCAGCGAGGCUCGGCGGAGGCUGACUACCCUGAACUUGGGCGGGGAACCGCGCGGAGGGGCCGGGUCUACCCCCUGCCCUCCCGUCUGGGAAACCCAGAACCCAGGCCUCGAAAGAAGCGGCUUUCUCAGCCUCACGCGGGGAUGGGCUGAGCUGGGAAAUGGAUCCCGGGGGC